CCGUAUUGUGGAUUUGAGGAGAGAUCAUGUCUUAACUUGUGAUUCCGAAAGGUUUUGUAAGUUGAAGUAUGCGCAUCUUCUGGACGUCUAUACCUCUGAAGGUGGGGCGUACCUAGAGCGUACACGUUGGGACCCGAAAGAUGGUGAACUAUGCCUGGUCAGGACGAAGCCAGGGGAAACCCUGGUGGAGGUUCGUAGCGAUUCUGACGUGCAAAUCGAUCGUCGGAACUGGGUAUAGGGGCGAAAGACUAAUCGAACCAUCUAGUAGCUGGUUCCCUCCGAAGUUUCCCUCAGGAUAGCUGGCGCUUAUACCAGUCUCAUCCGGUAAAGCGAAUGAUUAGAGGCCUUGGGGCCGAAACGACCUCAACCUAUUCUCAAACUUUAAAUGGGUGAGAAGUCAGGCU
rnacentral:rRNA from 1 species